CUAAAUACUCCGAGUCUUUUUUCCUUUUUAUAUUUUAUCAAAAUGGAAUUAAGGCCGUUAGGGUAUCAUUGGAAACUUUGAUGCCUCCCGAAGUGGAAAGGAGUAG
rnacentral:ncRNA from 1 species